GUAUGUGCCAUUUAUUCGUUAUAUGGUUUUUCAAAUAUACAUUUCUAAGAGUCAAAUUACUUAUCUGGCACAUGCGUGCUAAUAGACAGAGCAGCUUCAUCUCUGUCCAGUUUUCUAUUGUAUUAAUCAUUGCAUAUGUAUUAUACAGUAUAUUCAUUGUGGGAUUGUAUUUGUUGUGGUAACUGUAAUUUGUUAUACUUGUAUAUUAUUUGUAUAUCUUUAUUUUAUAGACAAACCACACACAGACAUGCGUAGCAGAAUUUCUUCAGUAUACUGAGUUGCGGUGACUAUAAAUGGGUUAUUCCCACCUACCUGAUGCUUCAUAGCGUGCACAGCGGUCACACUGGUAAAUUCCAGAAAUAUUUUGCCUCUUCUGUUAUUGAGCAAGAGUGAAACUUGGAACGUUUGAUUAGCUCAGCUUGUUGCGCAAGGGUUAAAUGUAAUAUUGAAAAAAAACCCAGCUGUCUUGUUCUUGUUUCCUCAAUCUGCAUACACUGUUUCAACACAUUAACUUUCACCAGGCUUGGAGCUGGUGCAGCUAGUCCUCAAAAGGAUAUUUCUUCAGCGUAUAAAACAUUUCAGAAAAAAUAAAUAUUAAUCCUGCAAGGAAAAGGAACGCUGUGAUUUGUUUUUAUGACCACAUUUGUGUGUGAGUGUGUAUGAGACAUCUUUCUGCACAUGCUCAGACCUGAGAGACCUUGCCUUCAAACCACAUCCUGAUUCACACAAGAUACAAGAUCAGCUGUAAGAUCUGAGGAUUUUACCAAAUCAGCUCACCUGUUCAAACAGAUCACUUCAAACUCCUAGACAAGCCAUGGAUUUUGAGAACAGCAAAGAAGGAUGUAAAAACUGCCAAAAGAAUUGCAAUAACAAAUGCCAAUGUCAUCGUCAUACAAUAACCCAAAGUCCUAAACCUAAGCAAAGGACUGAGGAGAAGACGUCUGAAGGGCCUUCAAAAGAGUGUGGCUUCUGUGAUUGCGGCCUCUGUUAUUUUGUCCCCUUUGACUGUGGCUCCUGUGAUUGUGGCCCCGAUGAUGGUGGCUCUGGUGGUGCUGGUGAUGGUAGCUCAUGUGAUUGUGGACCCUGUGAUUGCGACCCCUGUGAUUGCGGCCCCUGCGAUUGCGGUUCCUGUGAUUGUGGCUCCUGUGAUUGUGGCUCCUGUAUUAUUCAGUGAAUAUUUGCAGGAUGUUUGUCAGAUGGGUAUAGCAAAUGUCAGCUCCAGUGAAGAACAUCAUCAACACAAAGACAACAGCACUAUGAUCUACAAUAAACAUCAGGACAUCUGUAGUGCCAUCGUGGAUGUUAAACAUCAUAAAGACAAUAUUAUCUAUACAUAUAAAUACAGUUCCAACCAAAAUAUCAAAGUCAAUUAAAUAGCAAAUCAGUUAAGUGCUUAAUGUUUUUUCUGUAUUUAUUAAUAAUAUUCCUAAAUAGGUUAACUAUAUCCUCAAAUAUGAGUAAUAGGUAUUACAUCUUACUUAUUCUUUAAAAGUCUUACAAUGCAAUUUGCCUUAUACAUUUACAGAAAAACCAGAGUACAGGCAGUUUUAGUUUAAAGCUAAAAAGAUUAUAAUCGCUAAUUAUAAAUUAUAAAAUUAUAAGAGCCUAUUUGAAAAAUACUGUUCGCUGAUGCUAACUGGCAAGUUAACUAGCUACCUGAUGCUAACUUGAGGUAAUUUUAAAUAACUACGAUGAUUGCCCAGACUAUUUGAGAAAAAAAAUAUGAUGUCAUUCUAAAUAUAUUUAUAUGUUUCUUAAAUAACAUGUUCUAUGGACCUAGUGUUUUCAUAACUUAUAUAACUGUGAUUUUCUACAAAACAAACUUUAAAACACUUUUUUGUGUCUAUUACUCCUGAAAAUUAGUUCAUUUACUGUGAAAUGUAUUGUCUCUCAAGGUACUUCACCAGUGUAAGCUUUGUCGUGAAUACUUCUACGUCCCUCUUGUCAAUGCAGUUACAUAGUGACAAUAAAAUGUAUCUUGACUUGAUUUUGUAUUUAUUUUUGGAGAGAAACGUUUUACCCCACUUUACACUUUAGAAAAAUCCAGGCUGCUUCAACUAAUUAUUAUUUAGUAACUAGUUGCACAGAAACUUUACGU